UAACGCGAAGAACCUUACCAAGGCUUGACAUGAACCGGUAACGCCUGGAGACAGGUGCCCCGCUUGCGGUCGGUUUACAGGUGGUGCAUGGUUGCCGUCAGCUCGUGUCGUGAGAUGUUGGGUUAAGUCCCGCAACGAGCGCAACCCUCGUUCUAUGUUGCCAGCACGUGAUGGUGGUGACUCAUAGGAGACUGCCGGGGUCAACUCGGAGGAAGGUGGGGAUGACGUCAAAUCAUCAUGCCCCUUAUGUCUAGGGCUGCAAACAUGCUACAAUGGCCGGUACAAAGGGCUGCGAUACCGUGAAGUGGAGCGAAUCCCAAAAAGCCGGUCUCAGUUCGGAUUGGGGUCUGCAACUCGACCCCAUGAAGUUGGAGUCGCUAGUAAUCGCAGAUCAGCAACGCUGCGGUGAACACGUUCCCGGGUCUUGUACACACCGA
rnacentral:rRNA from 1 species